ensembl:lncRNA
AAGGCAGGACUCAAAUGCAGAGGUAAACGAAAAAAGACUUUAAUAGUCAAUAACUCCAACAAAGUAACAGGCCAACGGGCAAAAACACACACACACACACACGAACCGGGGGGGAAAAAGGCAAAAAAGGCAGGCAGGACCGAGGAACAUACAGACGGUAGACAGGGACAAGGAACAUCCAGCACGACAAACAAUGACGCGACAAGUGGCAGGAGACACACACUGCUUAAAUACACUAGGGAGGUGCAGGUGAUUGGACACAGGUGGAAACUAUUAGACAAUCACAGGGGACAACGGGACAAGGCAGGAAGUGAAGUUACCCGGGGACACAAGUGGCAGAAAACUACAAAAUAUAACAUGAAGUGAACCACACCGUGACAUUGUAAUUUACUAUGCAAAUGCUAAGAAGAAAACCUUGAAGCAGUGAGGUGACUGCAAGAGAAGACAGGUGGUUUAUUGAAUUAAAUCUGGUAAGCUAAAUUUAGACUGUGAAAGAUGCAGCCGACAAGUGUGGAUGAGAUCUAAGAAGGGUGUAUGUGUAGGUGAGUGUGUGUGUGUUAGAUUGUGGAGUCAAAUUUAAGAAAAAUGUCUAAGCAAAAUAUUCAGAUAUCAAGGGACUUUGUGAUAACCACACAAGCAGCAUGCUGCCACAUUCACUGUGAUGAAACAUUUAAUAUCUAAUGGCAUCUGUCCGGCAGCACCUGCAUUUCAAUAUUGUGACCAUAAAAUGACGGCUCAGUUAUAACUUUUAAUAUGGUAACCCUUGACAGAUGUGAGAGUGCAAAAAUAGCAGAAUUUUUGCCCCCACUGACUAAAAACCAAUUUCAUAAGAAAUUGGGGGCAUUUUAUGAAACUUGUGAAAUAACAUUCAACCUUUGUUAAAAAUAAUAAAUUAACUUAUUUUCCUGUAUGUGUAAUUGUCAUCAAAUAGCACUAAUAAGACUAUUAGGCAGUAGUGUACAGAUUCUGUACAGUUUUCUUUUGAACCAAAUCAAACAGAAAACAUAAAUCAGACUCAUUCAAUUUUAUUUUUAGUUUCUCGUGUUUAGCUUGACCAUUUUGCAGAACGCAGAAUGUUAUUGAGCCGAUUACUUCAUGCUUCUGUAAAAACAAAACACUAAAUAUUUAAACCUUGAGACCAGUCAACUGCGUCUCACUAAUGUUCACAGCAAAAGCGAAGCAAAUUAUUUGAAUGAGUAGAUUCCAUGCAAAGUCAAUGCACAGAAGCGCAUGUUUGUGGAGGAAGCAAAUUUUCAACGCAAAUUCUCAACACAAUGCUGCAUGGGGGACCCGAAAAAGCUAAAGGAGAGAAGCGAAUGAAUAGCUUUUUCACCAAAGGUAAAAUAUUUCAACAACGCUGUCCUGCGAAAGCCAAUCAGCAUUGAGAUCCUCUCCUCCGCUCGUUAUCGCCGCCGUCCUACUGCCAAAGCGUGAAUACACUUUAUGAAACUGUCACUUACCGAGACAGACAGCUCAGAUUGAAAGAUCGUAAGUUAAUGUGCAACGUUUGUGUUAUUUCCACAACAGGUACAGAGCACAAAUAGUGUAUUUCCAUAGUGGAUAGCGGAAAUGAUAACUGCCUUUACAGAGAUAAGCCACACCCCCUUUCCAAAAAAUUCUCUCACCGACUGCACUCUGUCUAACAUUGGCUAACUUAGCUAGGUUAGCUAGCACGCCCCCAUAGCUAACUAAUCAGAACUAGCUAACGUUAGCCAACUAAAUCAUUUCAAAAUAAUGAAUACUUAGUCAUCACUCACCAUCAUAAGAAUUUGCUGGUGCAAGGUUGGCAACGAUGUUGCUUGACAGAUGCCAAUGUGGUGUACUGUGCUUUUGGACACACUACCUAUAUGAUAUUAGAUACUGUGAAUGCCACAUACAUCAUGUUGUGUAGCAAAAAGAGAAAUGCCAUAUUUUUAAUCAGCUUCCACUGUUUGUGGUUGCAGGUCAGCGUGUGAGGAAGCUAAAAUGGACUUUUCUAUAAGCGGAGCGAGAGGGCCUCGGGGCAUACAGUCCACGCUUGGGCCGCCCCCCUCAUCCCCCAAGGACUCAGGCUUUUCUUCUUUCAGAACAUUGGGUCAUUACUGUGGAGAGUGUGAGAGGGGAACAUUGUGCUCACUUCAGACAAAAAAGAGCAACAGGUGAAAGAUGGAAUCUAGUGUGAUAGAUUUGACAAUAGCCCCCAAAUACCACUAUCACCAAGGGAACUCAACAUCAAACACAAAAGAAGGGGGGGUUAUCAUCUCGGUCAACGUAAGCGGGGGAGGUUGAGUCUUCUUAAUCGCUUCAUCAUACCAUAGAAGAGAAGCUAAAAGCUGAACUUAAAACUCAAAAUGUAGCUGCACAAGCGCUAUGUAAAACGGAGUCAAAGAGAAACAAAAGGGACAGACCACAACCUCUUUGGUGGUGGAUUUCAGUUUGUACAACCUUCUGACUAAUUAACUCUAUCUUCUAACUUUAACAUGUGGUGAGGUACGUAGGACUUUCAGUAACACCCCCACACAGAACACACUGGACAUUCAGAUGUUUCAAAUCACAGAGAUGUAUUGGAAUCACACAGACUCUAAUGAAACAAGCUCUUUCCAGAAAGACACAUACGAGGCAGUUGUACAUAAUAAUACCACAUUUGACGCAUUCAUUCAUUUCAUAUUGGGGGGGACGUCUCCAUCUCCUUUAUUUGGGUUCUGAUCAUAACCAGUUUCUUGAUGUUUUUAACACAAUGCUCCAAAUGAUCCUCUAUCCGUUUAUAGUAACCUCAUGUUGGCCUCCACCUCGUCUCUCCAAGUUUCUAAAUAUGGCUGGACAAAGAAAUACAUCAUCAAACAACUUGGAUGGAUGAGUUCCAAAACACACUGUGUUCAGUUGAACGCCAAAGCGUAUUUAGUCACAUUAAACAAACGUGAACAUAAAGAUCUGAACACAUAAAGAUCUGAACACUAAUUAUGAUUAUAUGGAAACGAGGGAUUGAAACGUGUUGGAACCCACAAAACACAUUUUUCCCUUACAAGCCAUAAAAGUGACUGAUUGUGAACAGGUUGAUAAAGCACAAGGAGCUGUUGUGCUAUUGGACAAUAUCAACCCUUAGGUAAUAGGAAAGGAGCAUUUUAACAUCUGGUCAUUUCUUUAUGGGUCAGUGCCUGGACCAGUGGUGGAACAUCUAGGCCUGGCUUACUGCAUCUAUGAACUCACAUGUGGUAUCUUGAGAUUGGCUACAAGACUAUUCAGGUGUUAUUUCCACUUUUGCAGCACAACAUUGGUAUUGUAGGUUUGGCUUAGAAACCUGUAGCAGGCAGGGAGUGUCCAAUAAAAAUACUAUAAAAGAUGUGUCCUAAGUGCUUAACACAUACAUUUUCAAUGAUAUUUGUUUCACUAUAUGACCAGACUUACUACUUGGCUGCAUGAUGAAUGCUUGGUACCGGAACAGAUGGAGCCAAGCAUCCCAGAAGACCUCUCAGCCGGUGUGGUCCAAUCUACUGUGAUCCAAUCUGAAAAAAGGCAUUGCUUAUUUACACAGAUACACAAGAGGAGACACAGAGACUGAACAGCUGCUACGAGCACUUGGAACCCCAAGCCGAAAAUGAACCUCCACAGAGACCAAGGCAAUCACCGGUGUCCCUGUAGACCAGGGGUGCCCACACUUUUCCGGCUCGCGAGCUACUUUUCAACUGACCAAGUCAUGGCGAUCUCCUCCCUCCCCAUGGAGGACCGCCCGGCGGGGGGGGGGGGGACCGUAAUAACGGUUACCAAGUGGAACAGCAGGACUGAAGUCAGCGCAAAACGAGUCGAUAUGGAGAAAACAACUAGCCUCUCAUCUGUCACAAGGAGGGAACCGUCACAAGCAUCCCGCACAUUCUUUAGAAUAAAAUUAAAUGCGUCCGUUAGUAAGCAAGGGUCGCUAAUUAGCAUUAGUUCCGGUCAUCUCCCGCGGGAAUGGGCCGCGCAUAUGGGUCAUUCUUUUAAUUGAUUGCAUGCGAUCGACUGGUACUGCCUUCAAGACAGACUGGUUGAUCGCGAUCAACCUAUUGGGGAACACUGCAGUUACAUUUAGAUAUUUAGACAGUUGACAAAGAUCUUGCAAACCUGUGCUUUUGUCAUUACACAUCUCCAAAAUGAAUGAAGUUGCUGUAAGUGAAUGUAAUGACAGCUUAAGGUUUAAAGGUAAUUUUCAUAUCAGUCUGAAACAUUUAAGAAUUAGACCUAAGAGUAGUUCUGAGUAAAUGGUAGAGGCUUUGGCUAUAACUAACUUUAAGGCUUAGUCUAUGGGGAUGCAGAAACAUUUUUUAUGAAAAAAUAAACACUUCAGAACACAUGCAUUAACAUCAAUCAAUGCGAUCUAUUUUUAACUGCAGUUGAAAGUAAACAAGUACAAUCAAUGUUGACCUUAUUUACCUGUUGUCUUGAUAAUACAAUAAUGCCAUCAGAAGGGCAUCAGUAAUGGUGGUUGGUCAUGAAUACCACUUUGCUACAAAUACCCAAAUUGUUUUCAUUUAGUCAUCACUUCCUCAAUUUGCAGAUUUUUUGGCCGCUAAAAUAAAACCAACAAUUCUUGCAAAUAUUUCAAAUGAAAAGCCAGAAAUCUUUUGACAUUAAAUAUCCGUGCAUGAAGACUGGGGGGGCUGUACUGCUGUAAACAGUGUGGCUACCAAAGGGUGGAGCAGAUCUUCUAUCAGCUGAGGUGGUGCUGAGCGGAGACUUCGAAAGCCAGCAGGUUGAAACAUCAGGUAGUCUGCAGAAAAAGAUUGGUUUAAAAGAUGGGGAUGGGAUAUAAAACUUGUAAAAUCUGCAUAAACGAGACAGCACUGAAGCAAUCAAACGGCAAUAGGCUUGAUAUCACACCCAAUACGGUGACAAAAUAAUAAAAGAUCCAAAUGUAGUUGGAAAAACACUAAAACCUAUGUAUAUCUAAAAGCUCCGACCCUCUUUCCUCCUCUCCGGGAGCGAUGUGACUGCACAGACAGGAGCAGGACCUCUUAACAGUUAUUACAUGGUCGUAGCAGGUAUAUAACAAUAACAUGACACAAUGUAACCACUCAUGCUCAAAUAUGAUUUUUUCUUUUAAAGCUCAAUGCUCUACAAACAGAAGCAAAGUAAGAAAAUGUCUCCCUAUUCAUGCACAUCAAUGGGUCUUUUCUCCAUUUGUAGCAUUUUGUUGGGAACCUGGGGAUAAUGAUUUCUUGUGCUUGUGUUUUGCCUACUUGCAUAUGUUUUCUCAUUCGCAGUGCUUCGAGCUCCCAGGGCCAGCCUGACCCCUUCUCCUCUGAUCCACAAUAACAGGAUUCCUGCUGGCUCAAAGAGUGUUUGGAUUCCAAACAAUAGAUGGUGAGGUGUACAUAAUGAUGGAGAAGACAGAGCUGAAUGACAUUCCCUUGUGCGUAUUCAUGCUGAGAGCCUCUGCAGCUUCAUUUGUAUUGUGCAGUAAGGAUCACUAUAAUGCUCGGCUGAAUACCAAUGAAGCAACAUCUCAGUUACAUUCAAAGUCAAGUGUAAAAUCACUGUGAUUUGCAUUUUAUUUAAUCAAACUUUCUCUGAGCCUUUCUAAAAGCAAUAUGAAGCAGAUUAGUGUGUGUGUGUGUGUGUGUGUGUGUGUGUGUGUGUGUGUGUGUGUGUGUGUGUGUGUGUGUGUGUGUGUGUGUCUGUGAUAUAACAUUGCUGCAUUUCCCUCUCGGAGUGAUCAGCCUGCACUUUUUUCGAAGUGGCAUUUUAAAGUGUUCUCUGGCAAAAUCAUUUAAAGCACACAAUGUUCACAUCAGGGCGAACAUGAAUAUACUGUUUCAAGUUGUAACUUGAGAGGAGAGGAAACUGAGCACAGGCUGGUACAUAAUGGCUCCCAUACUGGAUCAUUGAGUAUAGUUGUAAAGGUAUUUUUAAACCUCUAUCAUAGUGGGCGGUCGGGGCUUCUGCUAUUGUGUCUUCAAUUGUAUGAAUUCAAUGUGUUUCAUGUGUGGUGAAAAGAUGAUAAGAGAGUUCAAAUAUACCGUUUGUGCUAUUGUGUGUGAAAAUGUCACAUUUCACACAGUCCUCAGCCAUCUUCAACCAAGAGCUGCAAGCUUCUAAACACGAUCAUACAUUGUAAGCAAACUUUGGCUGGUGCUCAGAGAACAUUUGGAGGUAACGGAGUAUCGGCACUGGGCAUACUACCAGAUGUUAAUCCCCAAAUCACUAAAUAUGACAAUGAGAAACAUUGCAGCAUUACGUUUAUGCAGGGAAUUCUUCUAAAGGAUAACUACUACUACAACUACUACUACUACUGUACAAUUAACCCCAAACGGUAAUUGUUGUUAAUGUUAUUUUAAACACAAAACUACACACAUUUGAUCAUCUUGGAGGUAGAAUUUCCCCUUAUGGUUCAACAUGUUGAACUGUUGUCCUCGUGCACUCUGCUCUCAACUCUCCAUAAUGUAACGCCUGUAUUUGAAGUGCCAACAAUCUCCCCACAUUUAGCCAGAACGUUUUCAAAUCAAGGUCUUUUAGGGACACCGUGGUGGUCCUCUGCAGACUGUGUGCCGCACAGGGUAACGUUAGAUGUUGAGAUGGAGGCAGCCUAGCUGCUACCUUAGCCUGGCAGCUAGUUUAGCCUAGCAGUGCUUUAAGUGGUCCGUUUGUCACUCACUCACUUUCUGUUUGACACGUGGAGUAAUUCCUCUGCACCACUGUAUGUUGCGCCUCUGUUUGUUUUACUUCCAAUGCAAAAAUCUUUCCAUCUUGAUGUAACUGGUUGCAGUUAGCGGCCGUUUUGUUUCCACGGUCAACUUCAGUUAACCAGAAGUAAACAAACGUACGUUAACUAUGUUAAAAUAUUUUGUUGGAUUAAUCGCGGCCGCAUUAAUCGCAUAGAUUAAUGCAUUUAUGUUGACAGUCCUAGCAAUUAUAGAUAUUUCAUUCUUCAUAUCAGUUUUUUUUGGAAACUGCAGCCACGUAGCCAGACUGAUGACAACCCCCUCUCCCUGUGCAAUCAAUGCCAUCCACUGUGAAGAGCUGAGCACACCCUCAAAGGGCGCGUAGUCAUGAUACCAACGGGUAAACACGUUUCCCCUUCAUCAUCUACAGUGUGUACAGUGUCCAUCAAGAAUAAAGCAUGGAGGUCUGAUCCACCUGAUUAAGGGAUGCAAAAAAAAGAGUGCGUAGCGUGGGCCCUGAGGAGAGAAGGCCUGUUCCAUGAGAUGUCCCGUCCUGGGGGGACCUAUUCCAAUAAACAUGCAUGAGAUGGGAUACAAGCUGAAACUUGUUACGAGACACCUCUGAAAGCCAUUUUUAUGAAGAUCAUGUAUUUUGAGGUCUUUGUUUCUAAAUAAAACCAGGUUUUCAAGUUAUCCACAACUAACGGAGCACUGGUCAAACUUGACAUUGAUGAAGCUCAUGUGAUGGCAAUCAAAAGCUCCAGAACCGCUAGAGAGACAUUUAAUAGAACACUUGAUGUUUAUUUGAAAAAUUGAUUGUAUCAACUGUGUUUCACGGUCUUCCUCUGUGUUUUCUCAGUUGCCAUGGAGAUGGUUCCGUCGUCAUCCCAUCUUGUAGUACACAGUGUCCACCAUCUCCUCAAUGGCCAUUCAAAGUCCAUUUGUGCGUGAAAACAAGGAUACGUCGUAGAAGAUCCGACGCAAAGCCUGUAAGUGCGCAUUGAGUGAAUAUAUAAUGCAGUUAAAACACAGAUCGUAUGAGGGGAUGUUUAAAGGUGCUCUCCGUCAGGCUGCACCCUUCAGAAACCAAAAGCCUGGAGUCAUGUUGAUUUCCAAAAUAAGCCGUUUGAGGCUGAGGCUGAGUAACUGCUCCGAUCAAUGACCCACGGCCAGUGUGAUUCUGAGGAGCAUGACGUCUUCAAGGCCGGACUCACAGGGAGGAGCACAUUGCCCAUGCAUGGCCAAUAAAGCCCAUUGUGAUCUUAACGAUGCCACAGCAUGUGUGAGGUGUAAAGGGGGUGGGAGUGCGUCC